rnacentral:rRNA from 1 species
GACGUAGGGCGCGAGCGUUGUCCGGAUUUAUUGGGCGUAAAGAGCUCGUAGGCGGCUUGUCGCGUCGAAUGUGAAAACUCGGGGCUCAACUCCGAGCUUGCAUUCGAUACGGGCAGGCUAGAGUUCGGUAGGGGAGACUGGAAUUCCUGGUGUAGCGGUGAAAUGCGCAGAUAUCAGGAGGAACACCGGUGGCGAAGGCGGGUCUCUGGGCAGUAACUGACGCUGAGGAGCGAAAGCGUGGGGAGCGAACAGG